GGCUCCGGGUGUCGCCACACACAAUAAUAUGUAUCAGAAUGAAAAAUACUCACAGACAGGGAGGUGAAAGUGAUGAAGAAAUUGUGUGUCGGUGCAUCAAGUCCCAAAGCGCACUCUUCAGUAGGACGGCCGUUCCCCGACUCGAAACGUUGUCUCUGAUUUAUCUCUCUCUCUCUGGGCAGAUGCUGCUAGACCUGAAGCACAGAAAAAGGGUCUCGAGGAUGCAACGUGCUGACCACUCCCUGAUGGACUUGUGGUCAAAGAUGUUCUCCUUUGCAAAUUUCUCCACAAUGGACAGGUGAUACAGAACGGUCCAAUGGACUCAGAUGAGAGCAGACUUAGCCCCACCGGUUCUCUUUUACUGACGCAGCGGGGAGCAGACUGACCAAUUGUGUCUCUGUUACUGAUUUAGGGGACAGCACACUGACCCCAAAUGUGCCUCUGUCACCGUCCGCGGGGAAAGCAGCCUGAUAUGACUAUGACUAUGACUAUGACUAUGUCUCUGUCACUGACCCGGGGAGAGGAGAUUGAUCCAACUGUGUCUCUGUCACUGACCCAGGGGAGGCGCAGACUGACCCCACUGUAUGUAUUACUGACCAUGGGGUGAACAGACAGAAAUGACAUUGUUUGUAUUGCAGAUGCUGGAGAGAGCUCAAUUUGUCUGUAUCACUGACCCCCAAGGAGAACAGUCUGACCCCACUGUAUCUGUUAAACUGACCCCAAGGAGAGCAGGCUGAUACCUCUGUGUCUGAACCAAUUGUGCAUUUACGAAGGAUUUGUUCUGUCCUGUUUGUCUUGAAGAGAGGUGUUGUCAGUCUGAUGAUGAGGUGUCAGCUCUGCAGAAAGCAAAGUAGAUAGUUUGGGGUUUUUUAAAGUUAGACAAAGGAAGGAUGAGUGGGUGGAGUCAUGCUCACAUAGAUUCAGCGGCCGUAGUUUUAUUUUCUGUUGUUGAAUUUGUGUUUUUUGGUUUUGAAGCUGCUAGAUACAGUGAUCUCGCUCUCCUGCUGCUGCAGAAAAAGUCUUGAGUUCUUUCUCUCCUGUGAGAUUGUUCGUUUCUUUUGGUGUUCGUUUCUUCUGGACUGGAGUAGAUAGCAAGUGAGGGGUAUCUGUUUUGCUGAAUUUGCCUUUGCCAAGGCUGUGUUUUUCGGAUGCUGCUGUACUGGUACAGUUCA